rnacentral:rRNA from 1 species
AUUGAACGCUGGCGGCAGGCCUAACACAUGCAAGUCGAACGAGUGGCGGACGGGUGAGUAAUGUCUGGGAAACUGCCCGAUGGAGGGGGAUAACUACUGGAAACGGUAGCUAAUACCGCAUACCUUCGGAAUUGCCCAGAUGGGAUUAGCUAGUAGGGGGGGUAAAGGCCCACCUAGGCGACGAUCCCUAGCUGGUCUGAGAGGAUGACCAGCCACACUGGAACUGAGACACGGUCCAGACUCCUACGGGAGGCAGCAGUGGGGAAUAUUGCACAAUGGGCGCAAGCCUGAUACAGCCAUGCCGCGUGUAUGAAGAAGGCCUUCGGAUUGUAAAGUACUUUCAGCGAGGAGGCGUUACUCGCAGAAGAAGCACCGGCUAACUCCGUGCCAGCCGCCGCGGUAAUAC